GCUGCAGUUCUUAUCGGAAGAUAGGAAUCGGCGGUGCUGAUUUCUCCCGUGCUGCAAAAGGCAAACAGUAACUCAUAAUUUUCAUUCUUCUACCUUAAACUGCCACUACUGUUUCUCCUAUAAUUCAAAGAAAUUUGGCAAAAGAUUCCUUUAAACACCCACAUGGACGAGAGGUUGCAGAAUUUUGUCAAAAAAGGAAAUGUAGAAGCAUUUUUUUUCAGUACUUACAGAGGAUCCUUAUGUUAUGGAGCGUAUUGAUCAAGUACAAUUUGAGAGAAAUUUCGCCAAGGAAAUUCUAAAGUUAAAGCCUCCAUUUGGCUUUGGAGGGGAAGCACCUGCAGGAUGGGCUUAGUCCUCGAGAUCCGGACAUGGAGGGAAAGUUCCACGAAGUUGUAACAUGGUUGAUAAAACAUGACAGUGAGCUUGUCCGCGUUAAAGCGAAGGAGAUGGUUACUCCUUAUCACUAGGCAGCUCAACUAGACGAUGAAUUCAAUUUGGCUGAUUUUUUGUAUGUCUGUCCAUCUUCAAUCCACGAUGUGACUGUUCAAUCUGAAACUGCUGUACAUGUCGCUCUUAAAAACGGGAGUUUCAAAGCCUUUAAAAUCUUGUUAGAAUGGCUUCGACGCUUCAACAAUGAAGAGAUGCUGUACCGGAAGGACAAAGAAGGAAACGAUGCAUUGCAUACUGCCGUAUCUGCAAAUCAACCUGAGGGCGAGAUGGACAGCAGUUUCAGAUUUAACAGUCAAAUCUUGGAUUAUUGAUGGACAAACAUGCAAAAACCCAGCCAAACUGGAUUAAUCGUCUAGUUGAGCUGCAUAAUGCAAAGGAGUAACCACCCCCUUGCUUUAACACGGACAAGCCCACCGUCAUGUUUUGUCAACCAUGUUACAAGUUCCUGUAACUUUCCCUCCAAAUCUGUAUGUCGAGGCCUAAGCCCUUCCUGCAGGUGCUUCCCCUCCAAAGCCAAAUGGUCUCACUUCCAAGCAAAUGAUGGCUUUAAGUUUAGUAUUUCCUUGGCGAAGUGGGAGUAGUCACAAAUGGUACUUGAUCAAUACGCUCCAAAACAUAAGGAUCCUCUGCAACCUUUCCUCCAUGUCUUUAUGGCUGUUUUAAGAAAUCUUUUUGUAAAUUAUCUUUCAAUUACAGAAGUUACAGUGAUAGCUUGAGUUAUAAGAAUGAAAAUUAUGAGUUACUGUUUGCCUUUUGCACGGAAGAAAUUUUGCAGAUGUCAAUGUCUAAUUAAAUGAAGGGUUUGAAUCCUUCCAUCACA